rnacentral:rRNA from 1 species
GAUGAACGCUGGCGGCGUGCCUAAUACAUGCAAGUCGAACGCACAGCGAAAGGUGCUUGCACCUUUCAAGUGAGUGGCGAACGGGUGAGUAACACGUGGACAACCUGCCUCAAGGCUGGGGAUUAACAUUUGGAAACAGAUGCUAAUACCGAAUAAAACUUAGUGUCGCAUGACACAAAGUUAAAAGGCGCUUCGGCGUCACCUAGAGAUGGAUCCGCGGUGCAUUAGUUAGUUGGUGGGUAAAGGCUACCAAGACAAUGAUGCAUAGCCGAGUUGAGAGACUGAUCGGCCACAUUGGGACUGAGACAC